rnacentral:rRNA from 1 species
AUGGCCGGAAUUGUCAACAAGGAGUUUCCUGAGUUGGCCCAGACAGGGUUGAACUACCUGUCAUGGUCCUCGGAUUGCGAGAUCUUUCUCCAGAGAAAACCCCUCCUGAGGGCGAUCGGUAAGGGGGCCUAGCUGUCCGCCACUGAUCCCAAGUUCGAAACUAAGAAUGCGCAGGCUCUGCACUUUCUCCGUCAUCACCUGUCACCUACUCUGAAAGAUGAGUAUAUGGCUGAGCGCAGUGCUUCUAGCCUUUGGACCGCUCUUAAGCAGCGGUUUGAGAGGCUGAAGUACACUGUGAAGCCAUGUGCAGAGGCAGAGUGGAUUUGUCUGAGGUUUGCAGACUUAAAGACGAAGAUUGAGAAAACCCUAUCCAGUUUCCACCCUGACGCGGUCCAGUCCUCACGGAACUACUACCAAGGGAACUACACGAGGUAUUCAGAGUUGAUUGACGUCCUCUAGGUGGUGGAGGCGCAAGACGAGGUUCUUAAAAAGAACUUUGUCACACAGCCACUUGGGGGGAGUCUCGCUGAGGUGAACGCUCUCAAAUUCCGCAAGCCUCAACAGAAGAAGAGGGGCCGCAAGGGCAAGAAGNNNNAACAAGCCGGGCAAGGGAGGACAGAGGCCUCAGACUGCUUCCGUUGUGGCUCGGUGGAGCAUUUCUCCUGCCAGUGUCGCGCACCACCGAAGGUCAUUGAAGCAUACAAGGCUCGAAAGGCGCGUGAGACGCACCUCGCCUUGGUUUAG